CGUGGUUAAAACGUCACCCUUAUUAACUACAUGGCCAACGGGUGCUCUCCCUACCACAGUAUAAGUGGUUGUUUAUGUCUCCUAGAAUGUGUCACGGUUGAAAACACGCCCCUUCCUUUCGUUGCUAUGGACUUCAGAGGUAUCUUUAUUGCUUAGCUGUUCGAUGUUAGCAUUGUCCAUUUACCAUGCGAUUUACUUGUUUGUGUGACGUUGGGCUACCAAGACUGUGUGCAGGUGUGAUGUGCUGCUCACAAUCAGUGCGGUGUGCCGUCAAGGCUCCCAAAUGUGUAGCAUGGUAGUUUAACGUAGCUCCGGUUGGAGCGCCAGCUGUUGCCGUCACAACUAUUAAAGAAGCUAUCAUGAUUUUCGUAUGUAGCAUGGAGCUGAGUGCUUCCUGAGGCUGGGGGGAGUUCUUUGCUGCACUUUAGGCUUGACUCAAUUAAGGGUCGUUAUUAUUGUUGUGUUUAUUUGCAGUGAAUUUGGUGGGUAUGAUUCUGUACGGCUGAUUCUGAUUCGGUAUGAUUCUGUACGGUUUUUUGUACGGCUGGUGCUGUUGUACUAGCCUGCCCCUCAUACAGGAAGCCUCCGUCCUCAUAUGAUUGUUAACUUCCUCUUGUGAUUGUUUUAUUUGACCAAUGCCUGACUGCAUUGGAUGUUGUUUCUUUUAAAAUAAUUCUUGGCCAGUCUUUUUAACUUCAAAAUAAAAUGUAUUUUUGUAUGGAAACACAUGCCUGUUCUAAGUGGAAUGUACUUGCGUGUCUUUUAUUUGGGUUAUUUUCCCCGUUUUCUCGGGGUGGCGUAGUUGGUACAAAACGAAACAUAUGAGCCACAUGGAGCGUGGUUGUUGCGAAAAACUAGCCACAUUGCUACACGUGGCGUGGUCGGCAGGAUUUACGAGGAUACGAGCUACACUGCUACACUUACAAAAGUCUUUGUGACAGAAUUAUGUUUAAAAUGGUGCCAGUCGCAUCAUCCACACCCCUACUUGGCAUAUAGGAACGGGUCCAAGUUUGAAUGCGCUGUAUUCAUAAGCACGUCCUUCACAAUCUUCUCAAAUGAUUUCAUAAUCA
ensembl:lncRNA